UGCGUUCAUAAAAUUGGCAGUCAAUCUUGUGCGCCUGCUUUAUUAUACAAAUUCAAUUGUCAUUUCACAAUAAAAACAAAAAAAAAUGAAUAAAAAUGAUAUUAUUUAUUUAUUUAUUAACAGAAUACUGAUGACCUUAUUUAAUGAAAAAAAACCACAAUAAAAAAUGAUUAUUUAUUUAUACAGAAUACUGAAUUUAGAAUGUGUUUGGAUGGGCGAUUAGGUGUGAUGCGGUAAAUACACUAUUCGGCUGCUGCACCCCUAUUGGCUCCUUAAACGGUGCCUUAUCCUUCUAAGCAAAACGAAGUAAAACUGCAGCAAAACUGGUUCCUUUCCUCCAUCAUCCGGUGAUAGGUAUAUGGUCUGUGUAGGUGCGAGACUGCCCAUUUAAUACUGUGGUCGCCGGAGUCCCUAAAUGGCUUAUCCUCCGGCUAAAAAAUCCACCCUUUAUUCCUUUCUCUGCAACCCGCUUCAAUCUUGGCAUGCCUCUUCAUCCACCCUCACCGGCUCUUCUUCUAUCCCGUACACAAAGGAGACAUAGCGCCUCCCUUCCUCUGCUAGAACAUGGUUUGCGCUAUUUGCGGUUCCAGGCAUGAAUCCGAAACUACUAUAUUGAAAUCGUCGGGCUCUCACCUUUAUUUCUUUGAUUGAGCCGCAUAUAUAAGAUUUGUCUUCCACUGUUGGCUUCGCUUUUUUAAUAUGCCUUGAACAACGUUAUUAGUCCAUAGAUAUUUUAACCUGCUCCGUCCUGAUAGCUUUUGUUUCUGUUGUACCAAAUGGCACCAAAAGUAAUAGCCAUCCAUCUGUUUUUUAUUGGACUGUUAUUAACAAAUUCGAUUGCUAACCAUAGUUUCCAACUAUGCUCUUCGUUAUUUGGGGAGAAAUCUAUUUCUACCCCCUGCAGGACUUGUCGACUGAAUGGACAGUCAUAGAACACAUGGGCCACUACUCCACGCAGCCCGACAAACAGGACAGUUACUCACCGAAACAAUUUUCCAGCCUGUAAUCUUUAUUUUACUUGCAAUGUUUAGAGCCUAUAAUCUUUUGUAAAAGGUAUGUAAUGUCUGAUCUGAACUCAUUGAUUCCUCACCCAAAAUGUCUGAUUCACCUGUUAGGAGCCUCUUGUAACUACUUUUAACCGAAUAGACUCCUGUGUUAUCUUCUCGCCAUACAAUUUCAUCUGUUUGGUCAAUGCUAGGCAGCGGAAUAGUCACGAUUCGCCUUGCUUGUUCUUAGUCAAAUAAUGUUCUUAAGUCUUUUGUUUUCCAGGUAGCAGUAUACUGCCCACUCUCCAACCGAUUCCUUGUUCCAAUAAUCCACCAGCACUCCAUAUAUUACGCCAGGUAUAGGAAGGGUAAGAACUUAAUCUUGAGCUCGUAAAUCGCCAUUUGGAUGGUAUUUGGCUUUCAUAACUCGCGCAAAUAAGCAAUUUGGCUUUGAUAACAAUCGCCAACCCUGUUUCGUUAGAAGGGCUACAUUAAAUUUUGCUAAAUCCCUGAAUCCUAAUUCUCCAUGCGGUUUGGCCUCGCACAACAACCUCCAUUGACACCAUUGUAUACCUUUUUUCGAUUUAUAAUUACGCUACCAAUAUCUACUUAUUAUACUUUCAAGAUCACGACAUAAUGUAAUAAGUAAAAGGAAGCAUUACAUAGCAUAAAUGGGUAUAGCUUGUAAUAUUGAUUUAAUGAAGACCUCAUUUCCUCCCCA